ensembl:lncRNA
CACCGCCAGGGCGGAGCCUCACGGGGCGCCGCGGGAAUCCAACGACAGGACUCGCCACAGCAGGAGCUCUCUCCAGACCCUACUCUAGCCACGUGGCUGCCGGGUCAGAGGGCAGCGUGCGCGUCCCCGCCGGGCCUGCGGGCGCGUCCCCGCCCAGCUGCCGGCAGAGGCCGGGCCGGGUGGGCGGGGCGCGGCGGGGCGCGGCGGGGCGGGGCGCGCCAGGAGGGCGGCUGCCUCUGGGGUAGGCCGGCUGGAGAAGAGAAAAGGCGGCGGCCCGGCUGGGGAAGAGGGGUGGAGGAGGCGGUCCAGACGGCUGUGUGGGGCACUGAGCGUCGCCGGGACAGAGCGGAGCAGCUGGGCACGACGUCCAGGGCAGCUAGGGCCUGGGCCGCGGUUCGGCCGCGCUGGCCGAGAGAGGGUCUUACUAUGUUGUCCAGGCUGGUCUUGAAUUCUAGGCCUCAAACGACCCUCCUAUCUUGGCCUCCCACAGUGCUGGGAUUACAGGUUUGAGACACCAUGACUAUUAUUUCAGUUUUUAGAGGUUAAAUAAUCUUUUAAGUUUUUAUUGCUAAUAGGAAACACGCCAGUAAAGAAGUUGAUUAUACUAAAAAUACAUUGAAUAGACUCAUUAAUUAUAAUUAAGUCAAUAUAUUAUGGUUAGACUUUUAUUUUUGAUGUAAAACUUUUCUUUAUAAAAGUUACAGUGCAAAUUUUAAAGCAGGAAAGACUUAAUCCAUUCAUGUUAUUUUAUAGAACUAUUUCUCUGCUUACAAUUCUCAGUGACUUCCAGUUGUAAAAGUGUGAACUCUUUAGAGCAGCAUGAAGCACUCAUUAUGAUUUGCCUUAUUCCUUUCUGGCCUCAUCUUUUACAGAUACCUUGCAUUUUUCCCUGUGAUCCAACAAUACUAGGGAACUUGAGGUUUUGCUAAUUCAUGCUUUUUGGUAUUUGCAUUUGCUAUUACUUCAGCACUGAAUUCCUCUCGUUUUUACCAGUUUACCCUCCCGUACUUAAGACCUCUCUUUCAAGACUACUGUGAAUUAUUCUCUAAUCCCUACUCAUAUUGAUUAUUAUCUUCUCUAUUGGUACCAUUUUACUUCUAUCAUAUGGACCACAUAAAAACGACAUACACUUUUUACUGUCUUUGACAUCUUGCUGUAGCUUUUUGAGAGGAGGCACCGUGACUUGCUAAUCUUCAUAUUGCCACACCGAACACAGUGCCUGAUCCAUGAUAAACAAUAAAUAGGCAUUUAGUGAAUGAAUGUGACCCUCAAAAGUAAGUGAUUGGCCCACAGCCACAGAGCUUGAGCUAAAACUUUUAUUUUCUGGAUAAAUUCCUUGUAUGUUCUAAUUAAGACUUAAUUUGUUGCGGAAUUUAUUAAGGCAUAUAUAGAAGGAGGGAUCAAUAGAUGAAAUCUUAAAUGAAUUCAUUUAGAAGGAAUGAAAAGAAAACUUCUAAUAAAGUUUUAAAUACAUUCAUGAAAUUCAUACUGUUCUUUUUUAGUAAUAUGAAGUCUCUGCAAUGUGGGGUACAAUCAAAAUCAGUUUAGUUGAAAUUAGAAAGAUAAAAGUGAAAACACUCUGAAAUCUAAAAUGCACAUUAACUUGUUUUUAGCAUUAUAUAGUAUACAGUAUUAGAAUUUAAAUCAUAUAUUUUGAAACUUUUGCGCUUUUAGACAUAUUGUUAUAUGGUAUAUAAAAAUGAGCCCUUAUGACAUUCUAUAGUAUUGAAUUGUUACUAGAAUAUAAGUGCUUACGUCCUUUCAAGACAUUGAUUAUAUGUAAAAUUAACUGGUUAAAUAUGUUUAUUUUAUAUAUGUCAUCCUAAAAUAAACCAAGAUAUUAGAUACAUUAGUGAUUUAAUUGUUAAACAAUUUUGAAAAAUCAACAAUUUUUUGGCUAACUUCUUAUCU